GUACUGCUGACGAGUCCCAAGCAGGACGAAACAGUUGUCCAGUGC
rfam:Echinostoma caproni strain Egypt genome assembly, scaffold: ECPE_scaffold0001016